rnacentral:snRNA from 1 species
GCAGUGGGGAGCGGAACAAACACAUCAUAUGCAUUCGCCUUUUACUAAUGCAUACCGUGUCCCGCUCCUAUUGAAACACUGCUUCGCAAUCUUUGGAAACCUACUCUCGCAGUAU